rnacentral:lncRNA from 12 species
AAAUGGCCGAUACUGUGGGGUUGUAGCCAUUUGGUGCCAGCAUGGAAACUAAAAGCUGGAACUGCAGCCAGAAAUGCAGUAAAAACAGACUAUUCAUCCUGUUUCUAUGACUCGUAUUCAUCACUGCAGACAACCAGGUCUGAGAAGAAGAAACUCAGAUUUUGCUGUCUCGCUGACUCCGCAUUCAAGCUGGAAGAAAGGCUGGCCCUAAGCGUGGAUGGCUCUGCCACUGUGGGACCCGCCCUGGACGGGCAGCGUGACCGCCACCUGCCCGCAGUCCUGCCAGCCCAUGUGAGUCGCCCUUCUUCGGUUCCUCCCGAGAGCAAACCCGAAACCUCCUGACACUCUAUACCCGACAUCUGGCUGGUCAAUCAUCUCCAGCAUUAUGGGAAAGAUCCUGAUGGC